rnacentral:misc_RNA from 1 species
GUAUUUCGAUGCGGUUAAGCGCAAAGGUUACAUUCGGAGACUUUCUGAUGGGUAUGUGAAGAUCGCAAGCCUUCCGGGACGGAUGUCCCGUACCAGCUCACGCGGAUGUGCACAGAGGGGUGGAUAGAUAACAAACCGAGGGGCGAACCCCACCGGAGCUUUGUUUUUCUAUAAUGAUCCUUCCGCAGGUUCACCUACGGAAA